GUGUUCACUUCGGCAGCACAUAUAUUGAAAUUGGACAAUACAGAGAAGAUUAGAAUGGCCCCUGCACAAGGAUGACAUGCAAAUUCAUGAAGCAUUCAAAAAAAAA